rnacentral:lncRNA from 1 species
UCUUCAUAAAUUUGUUUUUUAUUGGUGUUCAAUUUGCCAACAUAUAGAAUAACACCCAGUGCUCAUCCCGUCAAGUGCUCACCUCAGUGCCCAUCACCAUAUUGAAUUAAUACUGAAUUAAAAUUCAUCAAAGUUAUUACUAUAGAAAAUUAAAAUAACAUAUCCUAGGAAAUUAGCACAUUCAUAGUAGCCUUAUUACCUUAUGCUUGUGUGCAAAUGAGCAUCAGCCUGAAGAUAAUGGCAUUUGCAGAAAAUCAGAGUCAAAUUCUAAGUCAAUUAAUUUGUCUUCAAAAGUACACAAUUAACAAAAAAUUUCAAACAUGUAGUUUUUAAAAAUCUAAAGAAAUACCUACAAUGCCUCUUCCCCCCAAAUAUUAAGCAAUAUUGACAAAAAUUAAAGACCUAAAUAUGUGGAGAAAUAUACCAUGUUCAUGGAUUGGAAGGCUUGGGAUUGUAAAAAUUUUGCCAAAAUUAAUUAAAAAAUAGAAUACGAUCUUAAUUAAAAUCCCAGUGGAUUUUUUUGCAGAAAUAUAUAUUAAAAUGCAAAUAGCCAAGGCAAACUUGGAAAAGGACAAAGUGGAGCAACCUGCUCUAUUUAAUAUAAAAAUAAUUACAGAGCUACAAUAAUAAAGAAAGCGCUGUAUUGAUGGUAAUGACAGAUAGACAAAAGGAUCAGAAUAGAGUACAGAAUACAUCUGGAUAUCUGGAUACCUGAUUUAUGUCUAAUGUAGCACUGCAGAACAAUGGUAGAGGAGUCUUUUUAAUAAAUGUUGUUACAUUAAUUAGAUAUCCAUAUGAAAAAAAUAAAGCUUAACUACUACAUCAUGUAAUAAAUAAAUAAAAAUCAAUUCCAGAUGGCUAAUAUAACAAAAUGUGAAAUGUAAAAGAAUGAAGUAUCUAAAAGAUAACAUGGAGAUUAUAUUUUAAAUGUGAGGUCAGCAAAGAUUUCUGAAAACAUAAAAUGUGCUGGCCAUAGGAGAAAAGAUUGACAAAGUGGAGUAUUCCAUCUUCCACAUCAUGGGUGUCUCCUUCUAUGGUGCAGUUUGGACUCAGAGCUUUUUCGGUGUGAUUAGACUGAAGCUAACGACCAGUUAAGACUUCUCUCUAGCUUAGUUUUUAUUUCCUGUCCUGUCCUGCUUCCCUUAAUCUUUCCCUUGAAGGCAUUUUUUUCAGUAAAUCAUUUGAAAAGAAUCACUAUCUCAGGUUUUGCUCUUAGAUGAACUAAGAUGAAAAUACCCACUCAAGAAAUAUGAAAAAAAUAAAUAUAUAGGAAAUAUUUAAUUUAUUUAUCCUAUAAACUAUUAAAGUGUGAUAUUAAUAACAUGCGGAAUUAUAAAACAAGUAAAAAAGUUUACUUUUAUUCUUUUUGUCUUGACUAUCAAACACUACCACCUUUCAGGUACCUCAUAUACUUGGUUCUCUCUCAUAUGUCAAAACAAGAAAUUACUGAAUGCUUUUAUUCCUUGGUCAUUCAGUGAAUCAAAGUGUUGCAGUCUUAAGUUCAUGAGGUGUUCAAGAGUAUAAAAAGGAAAACAAAUGUGUUUGGUCACUUGACUUGAUCACAGUAAUUUAGCCUGGAUGAAUACAUUUUGGUAAUCUAGAGGUAUUUGAUAUUUUUGCUUGAGUAUCUCCUAAAAUAAUUUUUAACAUUAAAUUUUUUCAAUUGUAAGGUAAAAUUUCAUAUUGAAGUUUUAGUAGUUGCACAUGAUUAUAAGUUCUAGCAAAUGGUAUAUUGUAUUUGGUUGAUAAAUGUUUUCUAUUAUACUAUUAGAGUGGCAAACUUAACUUAUUUAGAGUAAAAAUAUCUGCCGGUGAAUUUUCACAAUCAGUUCUUAAUUGUUAAACCAAUAAUCUAAAUUAGACUUUCUGUGAGGAAAAAAAAAACCAAAACCUGAUUUUGUUUUUCACAAUAAAUGUGUAAAUAAGCAUCCCCACUAUCAUUUAACUUCUGAAUGCAAAGAUACAUAUGUAACACGUGGUUUUCAGAAGAUAGAAUGACAAGAGUCUACCCAUGUGUCUUUCACCUAGAUAAGACAAUACUUUCCUCCAAUAUUUUCACUCAUGCCUUUCUAGAUUUACCAUGUGAUGCUCCCUCAGUGUCACUUCUCAGAUUGUUUCUUUGUUUGGCACUCAAGAGAUUUCAUACUUUGUGAUAACUACCAUACUAAUUUCAGAUGAAUGAGCAGGCAAAAGAGUAUAUGAAGAGAGGUGUGGCAAAGGAGAAGGGGCAGAUCCCAGGAGAUCAUCUGAUAGAUCAGUUUUAAGAAAAAGUAAGUAUGAAUUUUAAAGAUCUGGAAAAUGUCUUCUAAAAAGUGUUCCACCUAGUAACUUCUGGAAAACCUUCUCCUGUCCCUGGGGUAUGCAUUUUGUCACCUUAGCCUCUGGGCCACCCCACCCUUGUCCAGCCUGGAGGUAAGUUAGGCCCUUUGGUCUCUACCCAGGAUUCCUUCUGGGCAGAGAAUAGCUUAGAAAAUUUGUUACUGUUAGUUUCCCCUUUUUAUUUAUUACUCUUCCAUUGCAUAUAACUAAAUUUCAACCCCACUUCAGCACAAAAUGGGAAUACAAGCAGUCUUUCUACUGUUUUUCAGUUCUGUUCUUCUCUGUAUGCCUAAUGUGUAUUUCUUUCUCUCUUUCUGUAGAAACCCUCUUUCUGCUUUCCUGAUCUAUAGGAUAGAAUAAUAGAGCUGCUGAAAUGCCCUUGUAUAAAUAUGACCUGUGUUCUAGAGAAAGACUGAAUUCAAAAUUCUCCAAAUAAAGGAAUCUGAUGGGGAAGAUGGCAUCAUGUACCCAAUCUUUAUCCAUAGAACUAUGACCCCAUAAUUCAUGUAGAAGAUGGGGAUGAGUCAGGUUUGAAAUGUGGCUUCUAAACAGAGAAAACAGCCAGCAUACCCCAAAUGCUUUCCAAGGCUGGGCAAAAGACCUAGCCACAAACACUCAGGACGGAUCUCAGUUCUGAGCUGAGUCAAUGUGCUUCUUGUCUUAGAAAUAUCUUCAUAUUAGUCUAUCCAUAAAGGAAUGAAAUUCUAUGUUCUGAGACUUAAGAAUUUCAUACAAUAGAAGGGACAUUAUUUGGGGAUUGGAAAUGGAGCAGGAGUGAGACAAUCUGCCCAUGAAAUCAUACUACACUUAUUCCUAGGAUGGUAAGUCCAUUGUGGAGGUGGGAAAGGGAGACUAACUUGAAGUGACAUAAGAAGAGGUAUAUAUUUUUUAGCUGCAUACCUUCAAAGAAGUGAUUUGGUUGUUUUCCUAAUAUCAUCCCUCUAUCCACAUGGCUUAUGAUCCUGACCAGCAGAUUAUCCAUGUCCACCCAUACCUUCUACCAACCUUUUCCAGUUCCAUAUUACAGCAGCCUGCAUCUCUGUCCCAGCAUUGUCCUUGGACUCCCCAGCACCUUCCCUGAAUGUGAAGACAGUUGGUAGUGCCUAGGAAUUUGCAUCUCCACCACUGACAGCGUGGGUAAAUACACUCAGCUCCCUGGUCCCUGAUGGGAACAGCUUAGGGGCGUGACUUACAGGCCUGCAGAGGUCCCCUGAAGGAGUUAGUCAAAUUUUCCAUCUCUGGGUCUUGAUUUGACAUCUCACCCUUGCCUUGUUUACUUCCCUUAUCUGUCACUUUCCCUAUUUUCCUUUGGUUGUUUCCUUGGGACACUGCUUAAUAAACACUUUUAUAAGAAUCUUCACCUCACAAUCUGUAUCUAGGUACCCCAACCUUAGGUAACUGACAACCUAUUAGAAUUACAUGGAGAUUUGGUAUACUGGGGAGAAUAGAAAUUAUUUAUCCAGACCAUGAGUGAGAAAAGCAAAGUGAAUUUUACCCUAGAAAAUUAAACCAGAGAUUUUAUAUUUUAUUCAAUAUACAGUGUGUUCCUAUGUGAUGUGUUGUGUGUGUGUGUUGUGUGUGCACUUUGUGGAUGCAUGUGUAAGAGACAGAGACAGACAGAGAGACGGAGAGCUAUAGAUGCAUAAAUAUUAAUGACAUUUAAAAUAACUGCUGAUCUUGAAUCAGAAAAAAAAUACACAUUGUGAGCAUCAGUCGAGGUUUGAAACAAAACCUGAAACUAUACAGGUAUAUAUAAUAUACAUAUGAAAUUAUAUACAUGUAUAUAACUUUAUGUGUUACGUGCAUAUAAAGAGAUUUAAAUAAUUAGCUCACACUCAUAGGCUGGUGAGUCUGAAAUCCAUAUUGGCUGGCUGGAAACUCAGGCAAGAGCCACUGCUGGAGUCUUGAAGGAGAAUUCUUUCUUCUCUAGGAGACCUCAGUUUUUGCUCUUCAGGCCUUUAACUGAUAGGAUGAGGCCCACAUUAUCAAGUCAAUUGAUUGUAGAUAUAGACCACGUCUACAAAAUACCUCCACAGCAACAUCCAGACUAGCAUUUGGUUAAAUAACUGGGUAUUGGGCAGCCCUGGUGGCGCAGCGGUUUAGCGCCGCCUGCAGCCCUGGGCGUGAUCCUGGAGACCCUGGGAUCGAGUCCCAUGUCAGGUUCCCUGCAUAGAGCCUGCUUCUCCCUCUGCCUGUGUUUCUGCCUCUCUCUUUCUCUGUGUCUCUAUGAAUAAAUAAAUAAAAUCUUUAAAAAAUAAAAUAUUUAAAAAAAUAACUGGGUAUUGUGGUCUAGUCCAGUUGACACAAAAAACUACUCAUCACACUGUAGAACUAACAAAGUAAGAAAAAAAUAUUUUUUUUCACUGUACCAGAACAGUACCAAAACACAGCAUUCACAGAAACCACUUAGCAUUUAUGCAGUAUAAUAAAUGUGCAUAGUAUUAUUAAACUGAUCAUAUUAACUUUUUACAAAAGGCAGUGAUUCCUAAACAACUCUAUAUAUGUUAUAUAUCUAUACAUAGAUAUAUUCAUAUUUCUGAGUAAUCUGCACACAUCUUUGAAAAUCAGAAAAGACCUCAGUGCUUCUAGGUGUGCCUAAGACACAUUAGAAGACAUUCUUUCUCAAGUCCAGUUUGUAUAAUAUUAGUAAUUAUUCAUUCUUGUUCAACGCUGCCCAUCUACAGAGGCACUGGAGUGCAGAGCAUGAGGGAGAAACUAAGCCUUGUCCUGAGAGGGAGCUGGUGAGGUUACAAGAAGUGGUGGUAGUGAUACCAGGAAUCUGCUGUGGGACUGCAGGCUCAAGGAAGAUGUAGUAAUAACACAACUGGUCGAAGCGGAGUAUAUCUGAUUCAGCCCAGUAGAGGCUAUGCAACAGGGAUGGAAGAAGAGUUCAACACAAGAAGUGGAUCAGGAUCCAUAGUCAUUCCGGAGUAUCUUAGCACAUGAAACAGAAAUAAGACACAUGCCUUAGUCACUGGGUGGCACACAGUAGAAUGGAGGUCCCACAGGGUUAAUUGGGUUACUUAGAAAUGCUGACUGGUAUUAUUAUUCUUUAUAAAUAUUUGAUCUCUCUGUAAUAUUGGAUAUGUGGGAGGAUCACAUACCUCUUGAAAUUAGGUGUGACCAAAUGAGGAGUUCGGGUCAGUGAAAUGUGAGUAUAGUCAUUUGAGAGAGUCACUUCCAGGCAAAAGCACUUGAUUGCUGGAGCCCAACUCCCCAAGGCUCCCUCUUAUGCCCCCUACUUUGCCUGUGAAAGCACAUGCUGAUAGGGGUGCCUCAGACCUGCAGGUGACUUCAAACUUUGUUAAGUUACUGAGAUUUUUCCUGUAACCUGCCUGUUGGUGACAUGAAAGCAGGCAUAGAAAAUAAUUUAAUAGCUCCAAAACGUAUCAAGAUUCCCCAAUCAGUCUCUCUCUCUCUCUCUCUCUCUCUCUCUCUCUCUCUCUCUAUAUAUAUAUAUAUAUAUAUAUAU